GGCCUCGUGGUGUAGUUGUAACACGUCCCCUAUUGAUGAAUCACCGAAUUCGAGGGAAGUGCCUUGUUCGAAUCAUGGUGAGGCCA